AUGGCUGGAGAACACUGCAUGGAGUCUCCUGAAUCACCCUUCUUUGUUCCCUCUAAACCCUUUUACAUUCCUGAUGGCCUCAUCGUUAAGAGCCUAAUGUUAUCCUCAACCACCGGGCUUUCCGACCCCCAUGGCCACACUCCCACCUCUCCCCCUUCUUUAUUAAUAUCAACCCUCUUCCCAACACGAGCCCUGGAAAGCCGGGGCGCUGCGUCCCCUCCCUGCGCCCUGAUGGGCACCCGUGCCGUGCCCUCAGGGCUUGGCGGGCAGCACCCUGGGGGAUGCUCAUCCCCUGAUGUGCCGGGAGGGGCAGGCACGGCCAGGACUACGUUUCCCAGCGGCAAUUUCCAGGGGCUGCACAUGCUCCUUGCGGCUGCACGGCUGCUCCCAGCAGCUCCCGGUGCGGCUCCCGGUGCGGCUCCCGGUGCGGCUCCCGGUGCAGCCCCAUCGCGGGCGCACGGGGCUCCGUGGGGAGCGCACAUCCGACCCCCGGGGGCGAGCCCUGCCUGGCACCCACCCUCCUGCCCCCCACCCCAGCCACCCCAGCCACCCCGCAGCAUGCCCCGCGGGCGAGCCUGGACACCGGCGGAGGUCAGCAGCCUCCUGGCGCUGGUGGAAGGCUCCGGGGAGGCCGCCCUGCUGAUGGCCUCCACGUCGUGGCCCAACGAGGCGCUGUGGCAGGAGAUCUCCCGGGGGCUGGCGGCGGCCGGCUACGGCCGUAGCGUGGCCCAGUGCCGCUCCAAGUGGAAGGCACUGAAGCAGGCUUUCCACUCGGAGCGGGAGACGCGCCGCCGUGCCGGGCGGCACUCGUCACGCUUGCCCCCGCACUACCGCACCAUGAAGAGCAUCUGGAAGGCGGCCGGGCGGCCCGUUUUUGGGGAGAGGCGGCUGCCCGAGCUGGUCAAGCCGCCCCCCAGGAAGCGCAGGUCGCUGGCCGCACGCUCGCCGGCACCGCCAGCUGCUGCAGAGGCCCCCGCCGUGCUGCUGGCACCGCUGCUGCAGUGCCCAAAGGACAAGCCGGAGAGCUCCCGCGGGGACCACGUCGAUGGAGCAUCACCCGACCCCGCGGCCGCCCCACGCACCAGCUGCUGCAUCCCUCCCCAACCCCUCCCGGGCUGCCUGAAAGAGGAGAGCGCCGAGCAGAAGGCAGGUUUUCCUGGUGAGACAUCCCCGGGGAUGGGACGAGGCAACCCAGGCUCCGCGGGGAUGGCCGCAGCGAGCGAGCACGCGGCGGGCGAAGAGUCCUCGGACACCAGCCUGCAAGGCGGCGGCGUGGCGGGCUUGCUGCAGAGCGUGCAGCAGCUGCUGGUGCAGAUCCUGCAGACGUCGCGGCAGCAGCAGGCGCUGCUGGAGAGCCUGGCCAGCGACACCGUCUCCCACCUCCACCUCCUCUCCCACAGCCUGGUGCAGGUGGGCGAGACCCUGCACCAGCUCCUGCUCCGGCCGCCAGCCCCCCACGCCCCCCACGCCCCCCUUUUCGAGGGCGACCCCCGGGUCCCGCUGCUCCCCGGGCUCCCCCCUUGCGGCAAGGAGGAGCCCCAGGUGCCCCCCGACGCCGGCUGCGCCCCGCCGUGA
ensembl:lncRNA